CAUCACUCAAGUUUGUGCUCUCCCAGAAGUGAACAACUUUGUGAGGUUUAAAAUAGACAUGAACAAACAGCAGUGUACUUU
rnacentral:lncRNA from 1 species